UUAUGAUGAAGAAAUAAUAAUGAUAAUAAUAUUAAUAGCUCGUGGUAGUGGUAAUAGAAAUGAAGGUGGUGGUAUUUAUUAAUAUUAAUGGCAACAUUUUAUUUGUUUUAUUUUGGUAAUAUUUAAAUUUAUUUUUAAUAUUUAUAGAUUGUUUGAUGUAAUAAUAUAAAAUUUAAAAAAUAUAUUUUUUAAUAUAUUUUUAAACAAAAAUUAUUAGAAUUUCAAACACAAUUUUUGAACCACGGCCAAAACAAGAGUUGCAAUAUUAGUUUUGUUGAGUUUAGAUUCAAAAGAUGAGGAAGAUAUGUUGUCAGAUGUGAAAAGGGCAAGUUGCAAUCAGGACCAUUCAAGUGUGGAGAGGAAUGAGAAGAGGAGGCCUGCCUGGGAUCAUGAUUGCUGGUGGGGGCAUAGACAUAUUUUAUUUGGGAAGAAGAGGGACAG
rnacentral:lncRNA from 1 species